rnacentral:lncRNA from 1 species
GGGGAAUGACUUCUAGGAAGAGAAGUGCUCCGGAAAACAACCAUGUAAGGAGGAGGAGGAGUAACCUCAAUGAAGUCAUUGUCAUUAGCGAUGAUGAGACAGACAACGGGGUUGUCGCUGAUUCAUCGGAUCCCAUUCCUAUUACUCCGGGUCGUCGAACAUCUAGAUCGACAUCAUCGCCCUCAAGGACAUCUGGAUUGCGCGGGUGUUGGCCAUUUCAGAAGAGGAACCGAGUAAUGAUGCAAGGAGAGUCAUCUCGUUCAAAUCAACCAGUCAUGAUGUCGGACAUGUUUGGCCAUUGCUCGCCAAUGUUCUUCGAUCACUACCCAUAUCCACCACCUCCUCCGCCUCAAGAGCCCGUGCAACUCUCCCAAUAUCGACUAGAAAACCCAUAUAGGCGAAGUGCUUUGACUGAACUGAAUCAAUGCUGGUUUUGUCUACAACCAAUAAAUGAGGGACAUCCAAACUACAUGCCUUUUAUUCCGACACAACCCGUACAACCACAAUCAGUUGAGGACUAUGAGGAAGCUGUGAAGUCUUACGAGAUUGAUCCUCAAGAAUGGAAGGAAUGGGUGGACUCUUUCAAUACUCCUCCCCACUAUAAAUGAUCACUUUGCCUAGGUUCUGAAAUGAAAAAGAGUAUUGUUAGGACUUAAUAGUUUUCAUUAAAGUUGUUAAUCAAAUGUACUCUUUCAAUGCAAUCAACUAUCUAAAUAUUAUGCUAUUCAGAAAUUCAGUUGAUCUUCUCCAAUUAGUAUUUGACCUAAAUACAUUUGCCUCUAAACGAAAUUAACACAACAUUAAUUAGUAAUUGUUAUCAACUUACCUAUCUCUAAGAAUUUAUUAACUAUGACAAAUAAUUACUUAAUAACACACAAAUAAUUGGUGGUUUGAUACACCAAUGAAAACCAAACAACAAAAUGUUCGAACAUGAUUUCAAAGAAUAAGUCCAAUGGUUUGAACUACAGUCCAACACAGUUAACAGUCCAACACAGUUAACUAAAUUCUGAACAUUCCGAAAUUAUGAACCCCAAAAACAGAAAAUACUCGAACCUUAGUACUUAUUUGUUGAAAAUGUAGAAAUGAAACAGUUGGGAAAUCAGGUUGUAAAUGAUGUAUAAUAGUUUGAAGAAAACUGAUUUAGACUAUAAAUUUUAAAAGAUAAUGAUUCAAAAAUCCAAUCCAGCAAAACAACCAAAAAACCAAACAAGGAAAUACUGGCAAAAGGAAAUUCAAACCACAAGUACAUCAAUAUACCUAAAAACAAAUUUCAAGAACUUUAGAAAAAAAGGAAGAAUAUCCUGGACUCUAUUUCUGUCCAAAACUGGCAGAAAUUUAUAAAAAGAUGGCUUCGAUGCCUUGUGAAAAAACAACACUGGAAUUUUCAAUCAAAGACGUGAAAAUGAAGAAAUAUGAUUGUAGUCAAUCAAGACCCAUUUUUCAGAAAAUAUCUGAAAACAAAACAAAAUAUAUGAAGAAUCAUUAGAAACGAGUUAAAAUGAAAAAACUAAUGAAUUCAUUGGUACAAAAUCUCGAACAGUUCGGGAAUAAAUCAGUACAGACCAUGGAGAAAUUCAAAACCAAAAAUACAAAAUUCAGGAGAAUCUAAACAUUUCUCUAGACACUGGUUUCAACCAGUAAAACUCAAAACAAAAUUCAGAAAAUCCAGAAUUUAUAAAGCUAAAAACAAAUCAGAUAGUUCAUGAACAAAUUCAAAGAUAUAAAAAUAAAAAUCAAGGAUUUUCAACAAGCAAUUUGAAUACCCUGAUCACUACUCCUAGCCAAAUAGGCAGAAAUUCAAGAGAAAGGUUCUCUGGAUGUUUUGAUAAAAAUAACACUCAAAACAGUCUAAACAAUCCUCUGGACAGCAAGUCAAAAGAAAACCCAAAUAAAAACUCAAAAGAUACAUCUGUCGAGCCAAGAAAUGAAAAUGCCCUGAACAGUGAUAAAAGAGCAAAUUCAUGCAGAAACUAAAAACAAAUCCAACAGUAAAGAUCUAAGUAUAGUAAGUUGGACCUUCCUACUAAAAUAUAAAGAUAUGGCUCUAAGAUGUAUAAAAACAUUCAUAACUAGAGUUAAACAGAGAUAUUACGUUGUGAAAAUAAAGGUUCAGUUAUACCUGUCCAAAAUAAAGAAAAAAGGAAUACAUAUAAAAAUACUGAAGGAAGAUUAAAAUUCCAAAACAAAAAUAGAAUUGAGUCAAUCAAGACCCAAUUUUCAGAAAAUAGCUCUAAACAAAACAAGACAUAUGAAGAAUCAUUAGAAACAAGUUUAAAUGCGAAACCUAGUUAAAUCAGUCAUACAAAUUCUCAAACAGUUCAGGUAGAAUUCAGUUCACACCAUGGACAAAUUCAAAACCAAAAUUACAAAAUUCAGGAGAAUCAGAACAUUUCCCUGGACACUGGUUUUUAACCAGUAAAACUCAUAACAAAAUACAGAAAAUUCUGAUUUUAUAAUGCUAAGAACAACUCAGAUAGGUCAGGAAAAAAUUCAUAGAUCUAAAAAAAAAAUUCAUUGUUUUUCAACCAGCAAUUGAGGUUGCUCUUAGAGUUACAUCGGAGCCUAAACGAACUACUCUAAUAUCCAAAUAUCAAAAUUUGGGUGAUUGGAAAUCGUGAUGAUACAUUAAAUAUAAAAUCUCAUUGUUUGAUAAUUGUUUCUUAUUUCCAUGUUUCAAAAAAUUGAAAAUCAUGAUAUUUCUAAGAACAUGACAGAGAUUCUUAUAUAAAAAAGGCAUUGCCUCACUAUAAGAAAGCUCUCAUCCAUAUUAAUGUUAGACAACAUAAGAUCAUAAAGGUAUUUGGAAAGACGACUAGUUAAGAAAAUUUCUCUCUAGGUAGGAACAUAGUAAUUAGCAAAGACCAUUAAUACUGCGAACUGGUUUAGUUUGAAGAUGACAUUGGUUGAUAUGGGGUUUACAUGUUCAUUACCUAUAUUGAGUGUACAUUGUACACAUUAAUUUAGUAAAUAAUUUGUUUAGAUUAGUUUGCAAAUAAAUUUGUUUCUUUUCUAUUGUAUUAUCAAAGGAGAUAUUCCUUUGUCAAUAUAAAAAUCUAGUAUAUUAUCCGAAAUUUCUAAUAGCGUUUUUCGCAAAAAAUAUCUACAUCUGGGUGAAAUUAUGGAGUCUGGACUGCAGAGGGCAUAUAGGCAUACAGGUACUCAGGAAGGACUCGAACUAAUAGAGACUACGUUGUACAUUCGUGGAAGAAAAGUAUUAGAAGGUGGCAACUUAAUGAAGCGAAGCCCAAGAAGCUGCUUUUCCUACAGAUCGAUCGUAGGAUCUUAUUUGAUGUGAAGACCAAUUCACCAUAUCUGGGAUUGAUUGAUACCAAUGCUAGAAAGCAUUGGCUUGGAAAUAUCACUUUCACAGCUUCUAAACUCCAUUCAAAACUAAAUUCAGAACAUUCCGAAAUUAUGAACCCCAAAAACAGAAAAUACUCAAACCUUAGUACUUAUUUGUUGAAAAUGUAGAAAUGAAACAGUUGGGAAAUCAGGUUGUAAAUGAUUUAUAAUAGAUUGAAGAAAACUGAUUUAGACUAUAAAUUUUAAAAGAUAAUGAUUCAAAAAUCCAAUCGAGCAAAAAAACCAAAAAACCAAACAAGGAAAUACUGUCCAAAGGAAAUUCAAACCACAAGUACAUAAAUAUACCUAAAAACAAAGUUCAAGAACUUUAGAAAAAAAGGAAGAAUAUCCUGGACUCUAUUUCUGUCCAAAACUGGCAGAAAUUUAGAAAAAGAUGGCUUCGAUGCCUUGUGAAAAAACAACACUGGAAUUUUCAAUCAAAGACGUGAAAAUGAAGAAAUAGGAUUGUAGUUUAGUAGCUUUUUUUUUAAAAUACAGAGGCUUCGGAAACAAUGUCUUACUGGGAAAAUACUGAAAAAUUAUUGGAAAAUUCUUACUGAAAAAAAACCUCAUUCAAAAUCGCAAGUAGACACUAAUUAGAAUGACCAAAAAAACUAUCAAAAUUCAUUUAUCGUUAAGGCACAAGGGAAUCACCAACUAUUUCAGUGAGCAGGCAUUUUCCAUCUGAUCAAAGCUUGGUCAGUGAGCAGACAUUUUCCAGUGAUAACAUUUUUCAGUGAUAGCAGACAUUUUCCAUUCUUUAGGGUUAUGUGAACCCGUCCAGAACGAUUCAGUGAACGGGCAUCACACAUUUAAAAAUAGGUAGAUCAAAUUGAAUCGACGUACCAACUAGUUAUGCCAAUACUCAGAGUGAUUGGUCGACGCGCAGCACCAGCGGAACUUGAACUCCCCGUCGGCCGGAAGAAAUUUUUUGAGAAAUGCUAAACUUGUCACUCGAAGACUCGCGGAACUAUUUUGGGAACUAUUUCCUCGCGUUUUGGGAAAUAGUUCCGCUGGUGAUUUGGAACCUUAUUUUGGGAAAUUAGGUUAACACUCGAAGACGGUGGUGAUGAAGUCGGCGAUCAUUGAUAGCGGAGCAUAGAUUUUUCAUCUUUUUGCCCCUAUCCCGAUCACCCUAUCUCGUCCGAUAUGGCUCUGGGGCCAUA